UACAAGUUGUAGUAGCAGUGCCAGUAUCAGCAGCAGUAGUGAGUACUACCAAUACUACUACUAGUAGUAGUCACAUUGCUAUUACUACCACCAAUACUACCAAUAGUAGUUAUAAAGCCUAACUCAUGUAUAUCCAGAUUACCAUCUAUGUUCGUCCUCCAAACCCAUUUUAUGAUUGGGAUUACAGGUAGUUCUUUAGGACUGCUCUCAAAUAAUUGAAAUGUUACUAAACAAGGUUAUACUUAUCAAAUUAAAUAACUCUGGUCUCCAGUAUAUUGGCGAAUUCGGUUCUUUGUACUUAAUUUAUUAGCAUGAUUUCUUUUUAAUAUGUUGUGUACAGACUUAAUUACUUCUCUGUCUACUUUUCUUACUCCAUGUAGGUUUCCCAGAGACUAUGGGUUGAGGAGGAAUUGGAAGUUUGUCGGCUUAGACCUGGUGUCAUUCCAUCAGUGUUAAACUUCCCGGCUCAUCUUGGAAGAGUACGUGCCAGAAAGACCACGACCAAGCAGCCUUGAGAUCUUAGGCAGCGUCUCCCUGAGGUCCCUCUCUAUCUCCCCACACAUCCACCAACCACUGGAACACAUCUCCAAAGUUCUGCUGGACCAGCUCAGCUUCCCCUCAGAAGAAGUGCUGCCACCUGCCAGAUGAAGGAGCCUUUUGAGAGGCAGCUGGCAUCGUGAUUGGACUGUACUUUGGUCUGUUCCAAUCCAGCUUCAGCUCCAGAGACGGCAGGCGGGACGAGUCAACGGAGGCCGGAUGGACGAAGGCAUGCAGCUGAGUACAAUCCAGAAAACAACAGAGGAGGAGUGCAGCAGCCCAGAGCCAGAACAACCAGAGUAGCAUCGUAUGUCUCUUAGAAAACAUCAUAGUAUAGCCUUUGGUAUGAAAAAACGCCAUCAUAUACAUCGUAUAUUGUACAAAUAACAAGUCAAAGGAAAGAGACAUACAUUGUAGAAUUGUAGUAAUUGUGGGCUGACUGAUUUACUGAUUAUCAGUAUUUUAUUUUUUACUGAUUUACGGUAAUAAAUACAUUUAAAAAUGGU